UCCUGGCUCAGAACGAACGCUGGCGGCAUGCCUAACACAUGCAAGUCGAACGAGACCUUCGGGUCUAGUGGCGCACGGGUGCGUAACGCGUGGGAACCUGCCUUUAGGUUCGGAAUAACUCAGAGAAAUUUGAGCUAAUACCGGAUAAUGUCUUCGGACCAAAGAUUUAUCGCCUUUAGAUGGGCCCGCGUUGGAUUAGCUAGUUGGUGGGGUAAAGGCCUACCAAGGCGACGAUCCAUAGCUGGUCUGAGAGGAUGAUCAGCCACACUGGGACUGAGACACGGCCCAGACUCCUACGGGAGGCAGCAGUGGGGAAUAUUGGACAAUGGGCGAAAGCCUGAUCCAGCAAUGCCGCGUGAGUGAUGAAGGCCUUAGGGUUGUAAAGCUCUUUUACCCGAGAUGAUAAUGACAGUAUCGGGAGAAUAAGCUCCGGCUAACUCCGUG
rnacentral:rRNA from 1 species